AGAAUCAACGCUGGCGGCGUGCCUAACACAUGCAAGUCGAACGAGAAAGUGGAGCAACCCAUGAGUAAAGUGGCGCACGGGUGAGUAACACGUGACUAACCUACCCUUGAGUGGGGGAUAACCUAGAGAAAUCUGGGCUAAUACCGCAUAAUACCUUCGGGUCAAAGGAGCAAUUCGCUUAAGGAGGGGGUCGCGGCCGAUUAGUUAGUUGGCGGGGUAAUGGCCCACCAAGACUGUGAUCGGUA
rnacentral:rRNA from 1 species